GAACACGGAGAUACGAAACAGCUCAGUCCUGCAUUGGCCUCCUUUCCUUGCCAGCUGAUAUGGUCACCUGAGGUCAGGAGUUCGAGACUAGCCUGGCCAACAUGGUGAAACCCCGUCUCUACUAAAAAUACAAAAAUUAGCCGGGCACAGUGGCACAUGCCUGUAAUCCCAUCUACUUGGGAGGCUAAGGCAGGAGAAUCUCUUGAACCCGGGAGGCGGAGG
rnacentral:lncRNA from 1 species